rnacentral:rRNA from 1 species
AUUGAACGCCGGCGGCAUGCUUUACACAUGCAAGUCGAACGGUAACAGGCCGCAAGGUGCUGACGAGUGGCGAACGGGUGAGUAAUGCAUCGGAACGUGCCCAGUCGUGGGGGAUAACUACUCGAAAGAGUAGCUAAUACCGCAUACGAUCUAUGGAUGAAAGCGGGGGACCGUAAGGCCUCGCGCGAUUGGAGCGGCCGAUGUCAGAUUAGGUAGUUGGUGGGGUAAAGGCUCACCAAGCCAACGAUCUGUAGCUGGUCUGAGAGGACGACCAGCCACACUGGGACUGAGACACGGCCCAGACUCCUACGGGAGGCAGCAGUGGGGAAUUUUGGACAAAGGGCGCAAGCCUGAUCCAGCAAUGCCGCGUGCAGGAAGAAGGCCUUCGGGUUGUAAACUGCUUUUGUACGGAACGAAACGGCUCUGGUUAAUACCCGGGGCUAAUGACGGUACCGUAAGAAUAAGCACCGGCUAACUACGUG